rnacentral:rRNA from 1 species
UUCUGGGAGGAUUGACAGAUUCAGAGCUCUUUCUUGAUUCGGUGGAUGGUGGUGCAUGUCCGUUCUUAGUUUGUGGAGAGAUUUGUAUGAGUAAUUCUGAUAACGAACGAGACUCUAACCUAUUUAAAAGGUGCGUGGUUCUCUGCACCUUGCACCCUUCUUAGAGGGACAAGCGGCUCCUAGCCGCACGAAACAGAGCAAUAACAGGUAUGUGAUGCUCUUAGAU